AUUUGCAGGGAGGGUGGGAUCUUAUGCAUUAAAAGCUAGCUUGCUAUUGCUAGCCUCUCCGAAAUCACCUACCCACCUUUAAACUCGUUGUGAAAUCUGUGCAAUUGGUAAUGUUCUCUCUCAUAUGAAAUUCCUGAUCAUUUGGAUUUUUUUUUUGAAGUGACUGGAUUUCCAAACUGAUCUCAUGAGAAAAGGUAACUCUUUUACGAGGUGGCAAUUUUGCAUGAAUGCGUAUGAUGUGAUUCAUAAGAAAAUGUGCAAUUUAAAAAAUAUAUGAAUUUGAACCUGUUGCGAAAUCUGCGAAAAUGGAAAUCUUUCGCCCUCAUGUAAAAUUCCUGAUCAUGUUGAUUCCUAUUGAAAUGACUGGAUUUCGAACCUGAUCUCAUGAGAAAAGGUAACUAUUUAACGAGGUGGUGAUUUCGUAUGAAUGCGUAUGAUGUGAUUCAUAUGAAAAUUGAACCUGUUGCGAAAUCUGCGAAAAUGGAAAUCUUUCGCCCUCAUGUAAAAUUCCUGAUCAUGUUGAUUCCUAUUGAAAUGACUGGAUUUCUAACCUGAUCUCAUGAGAAAAGGUAACUAUUUUACAAAGUGGUGAUUUUGUAUGAAUUUGUACAAUUUGAUUGGUGCAGAAAUGGAUGAUUUUUUGAAAAAUACGUAAGCAUGAAGGUCCACCCCUAAACUUAAACGUCAAUGGGGCGUAAGCAGAGCGUUCAAAAAGUAUAAAUGAGAUUGUACAAAUUUACACCAAUUGGUCACCAAUUUGCCAAAACAUAAAAUAGUUAAGUAUUGCCAUGUGUUAGUAUUGCGAUUUUGCCCGUUGAAAUUCGCCAAACAAAAAGGCAAAUGUGACCACAACUUUACAAUUUUUUUAGUAGUGCAGAAUACAUUUAAACAUAGUAAAAUGCCUUAAAUGUAAAGUACUACAGUCUUAUUGAUAGAUAAAACAUUUACCAAUUAACCAAAACAUAAACACAUAAGGGGCAGCAGAUAUAUAGAACGUUGCGAACAAACGUUCCAAUUUUCUCUUAAAUUUCUCUCUGAUUCCGUGUGGGCCUGAUGAUGUGGCAUUCUAAAUGCAUUGUACAGCUCUUAAACAAAGCUCAGCAGGAAAUGAGAGACAAAGACUAGUACAAAAAUAAAUCUAGCAUGUGAGGUAACAAAAUUAGGCAAUUCAAGUAAAACGUUCGAACAGAGAUGACAGAACACAAACUACAACGGCGAGCUAACUACAGGUAUCCUCAGCAGAAGACUGCAGAAACAUAUACUGCAUUGCGGUUUUUAAAUGUAAAAAAUAAUCUCUUUUUAAUUCAUAAUUUGAUUUAUGAGUACGAUAUUAACAUUUCAUUAGACUAAAAUACCUGCAGUUGCAAAACUGUGAUUGCGUCAUGUUACCAUGUGAACAUAAAAAAAGAAAUCAACUGAUAUGCUGUACUAUUUGGUGUGAAAGUGACUGAAAUGAAAGCAGAUCGCAGAGAUUCACCUCUCUGGCUUCGUCUGAAUGCACUAAAUGCAGAAAUGGUGCUGAAAA